UGCUAUUUUGAUGAAAACGAAGAGAUCCUCUUUCAUUACGUGGAAGAAACCUGUCUGGCGAAAGAAGUACAUGUGGAAAGCCUGCCAGUCACACCGUGCAUCAUUGUAUGUGGAGACUCCUGCUUUGCUGCUAAGCAAUUCAUGCUCUGUGUUGACCAAAAGAUUGUGAACGGGCAAAUCCCCAGCUUCGGAUCUGCCAUUUGUUUGAUGCUGGCAAGCUACUACUGCCUCAACAUUCAUUAUCCUGUGGAACUGAGCUCAACACUUAAAUUCCUUCAGAGGUGUUUCUUCAACAUCAAUCCCGAGAAGGGAACAAAAGUG